rnacentral:rRNA from 1 species
GCCUUGCCAGCCCGCUCAGAAACCAAAGGAAUUGACGGGGGCCCGCACAAGCGGCGGAGCAUGUGGAUUAAUUCGAUGCAACGCGAAGAACCUUACCUGGGUUUGACAUACACCGGAAAACCGUAGAGAUACGGUCCCCCUUGUGGUCGGUGUACAGGUGGUGCAUGGCUGUCGUCAGCUCGUGUCGUGAGAUGUUGGGUUAAGUCCCGCAACGAGCGCAACCCUUGUCUUAUGUUGCCAGCACGUGAUGGUGGGGACUCGUAAGAGACUGCCGGGGUCAACUCGGAGGAAGGUGGGGACGACGUCAAGUCAUCAUGCCCCUUAUGUCCAGGGCUUCACACAUGCUACAAUGGCCAGUACAGAGGGCUGCGAGACCGUGAGGUGGAGCGAAUCCCUUAAAGCUGGUCUCAGUUCGGAUCGGGGUCUGCAACUCGACCCCGUGAAGUCGGAGUCGCUAGUAAUCGCAGAUCAGCAACGCUGCGGUGAAUACGUUCCCGGGCCUU